rnacentral:lncRNA from 1 species
AUAGGGUAGCAGACAGUACAGGAAUGAGUGGGUUAGAACUGUUUGACAUAAGCAACAGAGUUCUAUGCUAAGUCAUCAUCCUAGGAAUUCUGUGUGGUUAGAAAAGGAAGAACUGAAUUGCCUGGGUCUGGAGGAAAUUGAUGCUUUGUUUGAUAUAUGUGUGAUAGAUUCUAUCAUGCUUGUAGGCUGUUCAUGAGAGUCAAUAAUUUGCUGAAAUAAGGAGCUACCCAAGAGUAAGAAGCUGACCCAAAGGGUAAGGAGCACAGAAUCUUUCUGCUAGAGCAGACUCCAGCCCAGCUCAAUGGGAUCAUGACCAAUGAAAGCCCAGUUGCUCUUAAUUUAAAGUGGAUUCUCACUGUUGAUAAUCAUACACAGCAGGCAGCUGAAUAGAAUUACAUGUAAUGUUACAUGAAAAUCCCAUCUCAGGUGUACUGUGCUCUUGGUAAGAGUGAGUGUAGUCUCACACACCAUUACUGGAAACCUUUAAGCCAUAAGCUAAAAAUAACUCUGAAAAAAAGUGUGUCAAUAUACCCAAAGGAUUUAGGAAAUACCAGCUCUGUUAGUCAGCUUCCCGUUGCUAUAAAAUAUCUACAAUGAUAAAUCUAUAAAGACAAAAAUUUGUUUCAGUUCACAGUCUGGAAGUUUCAGUCCACUACGCUGGUCCUAUGCCAAGAAAGCAUUGAUGAAGGAUGUCCCUCUGUUAUGAUAAAUCUUUCUGCCAAAAGCCGCAGAGCCCCACCGCCACAUGUGUGCUUUUAUGUCAGCCGCCCGCCCGAGUUAGGGCCCAAAUUAAUGGACAGAGAGACUUGCAUUAGGUACAACGCUGCUUGGCCAAUGACUAGGAUUUCUCAUCUGUUAGCUCAGUAUUAAUUAUCAUAAAUCUAUAUAUUUUAUAAGACUUAUCUUAUUGGAUGCCUUAUUGGAGUACCUCCUUGCUGGUGGCUCACAUCCUGCCACUGGAGAAGGUGGGGCGGCACUUCCUACUUCUCCUUGCUCAAAUAUGAGUCUCCUUGCUAUGUCACUUCCAGCCUGGAUCACCACUUCUCUACUACAUUU